rnacentral:snRNA from 1 species
AGAUGUGAGAGCAAUCUGGCUGCAAUGUCUCUCAUCCCAUUGAUUGCCAGUGUUGACUUGGCUGAUCUGGCUGGCUAGAAGGGUGUCCUCUUCCUCCCUCACUGCUGUAGGAGCAUUGCUUCCAAAGCUGCAAGUGUUUGGUUGAAGAGGAUGGCCUUCCUUGAAUAAAGGAGGUCUGGUCUAUCGUCAAGGGUGUAUAUGAGUAGCUAUGUACCCCUGCUAGAAUCUCCAAACAAGCGCUCAGAUGCUUGCUGUUUUUGCAAACACUCUCACAAACUGAAUAAUGUUUUCCCAGCUAUCUGGGUAUCCUU